AAAUUGAAGAGUUUGAUCAUGGCUCAGAUUGAACGCUGGCGGCAGGCCUAACACAUGCAAGUCGAACGGUAACAGGAAGCAGCUUGCUGCUUUGCUGACGAGUGGCGGACGGGUGAGUAAUGUCUGGGAAACUGCCUGAUGGAGGGGGAUAACUACUGGAAACGGUGGCUAAUACCGCAUAACGUCGCAAGACCAAAGAGGGGGACCUUCGGGCCUCUUGCCAUCAGAUGUGCCCAGAUGGGAUUAGCUUGUUGGUGAGGUAACGGCUCACCAAGGCGACGAUCCCUAGCUGGUCUGAGAGGAUGACCAGCCACACUGGAACUGAGACACGGUCCAGACUCCUACGGGAGGCAGCAGUGGGGAAUAUUGCACAAUGGGCGCAAGCCUGAUGCAGCCAUGCCGCGUGUAUGAAGAAGGCCUUCGGGUUGUAAAGUACUUUCAGCGGGGAGGAAGGUGUUGUGGUUAAUAACCGCAGCAAUUGACGUUACCCGCAGAAGAAGCACCGGCUAACUCCGUGCCAGCAGCCGCGGUAAUACGGAGGGUGCAAGCGUUAAUCGGAAUUACUGGGCGUAAAGCGCACGCAGGCGGUCUGUCAAGUCGGAUGUGAAAUCCCCGGGCUCAACCUGGGAACUGCAUUCGAAACUGGCAGGCUUGAGUCUUGUAGAGGGGGGUAGAAUUCCAGGUGUAGCGGUGAAAUGCGUAGAGAUCUGGAGGAAUACCGGUGGCGAAGGCGGCCCCCUGGACAAAGACUGACGCUCAGGUGCGAAAGCGUGGGGAGCAAACAGGAUUAGAUACCCUGGUAGUCCACGCCGUAAACGAUGUCUACUUGGAGGUUGUGCCCUUGAGGCGUGGCUUCCGGAGCUAACGCGUUAAGUAGACCGCCUGGGGAGUACGGCCGCAAGGUUAAAACUCAAAUGAAUUGACGGGGGCCCGCACAAGCGGUGGAGCAUGUGGUUUAAUUCGAUGCAACGCGAAGAACCUUACCUGGUCUUGACAUCCACAGAACUUUCCAGAGAUGGAUUGGUGCCUUCGGGAACUGUGAGACAGGUGCUGCAUGGCUGUCGUCAGCUCGUGUUGUGAAAUGUUGGGUUAAGUCCCGCAACGAGCGCAACCCUUAUCCUUUGUUGCCAGCGGUCCGGCCGGGAACUCAAAGGAGACUGCCAGUGAUAAACUGGAGGAAGGUGGGGAUGACGUCAAGUCAUCAUGGCCCUUACGACCAGGGCUACACACGUGCUACAAUGGCGCAUACAAAGAGAAGCGACCUCGUGAGAGCAAGCGGACCUCAUAAAGUGCGUCGUAGUCCGGAUUGGAGUCUGCAACUCGACUCCAUGAAGUCGGAAUCGCUAGUAAUCGUGGAUCAGAAUGCCACGGUGAAUACGUUCCCGGGCCUUGUACACACCGCCCGUCACACCAUGGGAGUGGGUUGCAAAAGAAGUAGGUAGCUUAACCUUCGGGAGGGCGCUUACCACUUUGUGAUUCAUGACUGGGGUGAAGUCGUAACAAGGUAACCGUAGGGGAACCUGCGGUUGGAUCACCUCCUUA
rnacentral:rRNA from 5 species